rnacentral:rRNA from 1 species
CACGUAGUUGGCCGGUCCUUCUUCUCCAGGUACCGUCACUUGCGCUUCGCCCCUGGCGAAAGAGGUUUACAACCCGAAGGCCGUCAUCCCUCACGCGGCGUCGCUGCAUCAGGCUUGCGCCCAUUGUGCAAUAUUCCCCACUGCUGCCUCCCGUAGGAGUCUGGGCCGUAUCUCAGUCCCAGUGUGGCCGGUCACCCUCUCAGGCCGGCUACCCGUCGUCGCCUUGGUAGGCCAUUACCCCCACAACAAGCUGAUAGGCCGCGGGCCCAUCCCACACCGCAAAAGCUUUCCACCACAGCACAUGAAUGCCGUGGUCCUAUCCGGUAUUAGACCCAGUUUCCCAGGCUUAUCCCAAAGUGCAGGGCAGAUCACCCACGUGUUACUCACCCGUUCGCCACUCGAGUACCCCGAAGGGCCUUUCCGUUCGACUUGCAUGUGUUAAGCACGCCGCCAGCGUUCGUCCUGAGCCAGGAUCAAACUCU